AUGCAGAAGCUCAAUGCAAAACUACUAAAGCUAGAGGAACUUGAGAGCCAGCGAGCUGCCGACCAACCAUCUCAACGGCACGAAGCUACCCCAGAAGCUACCCCGCCAUCUCAGUGGAGAAGCAGCGUGGCUUCCACGGAGCUCCUUCAGCCCGACUUCACGGCUCCUAGCUACCCCAUGGAUACUAUCACGGAUGCUCAACAUUGCCAGCUUAUGACGAAAUGGCAGAACCUCACUUUGAAGGCGGUUGUCGGCUCUAUUGCACCUCCUCAACCUGACGGAACUUUUCACUGCCGUCCAAUUCCACAUGGCUAUGUUUUUAUGACAGUGGAUGAAGUAAUGGAGGGAUUUGAGGAGCUCGAGCUUGACCACCCUACAGGUGAAGGGGAGAAUCAGCUGGUUUAUGCUCUGAGGAGUACAUGUCUAUGGCGGAAGGAGUACAUCAAGCUUCCAAACUGGACGCCUCCGCCUCCUCCUCCUCCUCCUCCGGCGAGUCAGGGCACUCCGCCUCCUCCGAUGAGUGAUCAGGGCACUCCGCCUCCUUCUCCGGCUGGUCCAGCGUGUGAGGGCACUCCGCUCCUCCUUCGCCUCCUCCGGCGCAUCGGUGCAGUCCGCCUCCUCCUCCGCCUCGUCAGCAACGGUGGAAGACAGACGUCGCCGCUUCGGCUCCUCCACUACGUUAGAGCACUCCGCCUCCUUCUCCGCCUCAUCAGCAACGACGGAAGAGAGACGCCACCGCACCGGCGGCUAGCAGUACAAGGAGAGGCGGGAGGAAAUUCAGAUACGGUCCAUCUCUCAAGCCUUUGGAAAAGUUACCAUAUGAGAGGACCGAGAAGGAAAACGAGGAGAUCUCUGUUGCCCAAGUGA
rnacentral:rRNA from 1 species